GCCGCAGGCAAAUUUGUCCCUCGGAAGGAUCCGUCGGACAAGGACGUGUUAGCGGCUCCUGAAAGUGACGUCAUUAACCCUGUCGCUUCUGGGCGUGGGAAAGGCCCGAUGCUUAGCGCGAGGGCUGGCUGGCUGGUUUGUGAACCGAGACCUCUCUGUAAAUGCUUACAGAAGAGAAUACAGAACAGGAACUGCAGGAAGUCCAUCAGCGAUGUCUACUGGGCAAAUAGUAUGGCUCCUGGCUGGGCUACUGACCAGUGAUUAGGAAGCGCUAUAUGUUCUACCUUGGGCCACUUCUUCCACAUGAACUGAGUGCCACAUGCAAUGCUUGCCUGUUGGAAGAUCUCCUCUCUUGUGAAUUGCAGCCUGAAUGGGGCGAUCUUCUGCUGUCUAGUUUCACUUUGAACCUACAAACCAAACUUAAACAAAGAAGAAGAACCAGGCUCCUGGAAGAAUGAAGCUAAAGUAUGAAGAUGGAACGCCCUGCAGGCCUAGAAGGCAGUAGCAGAUGAGAGGUGUCCUCCAUAAACAUCCAAAAUCUGCAUGGACCAAGCUAGUUUAUGGCUCCUCUUCUACAAUCAAUAUGACUCAGCAGAGUGGGGAGCACCUACACAGGGAAGAGAUUUGGUGAAGGAUACAGUGAAGCUGUCAAGAGGGACAUCUCUUUCCCAACAAGGAUCUAAUUCAUGGAAGGAAGUCCAGGCAUCUCUGUUGCCUGUGUUACCUGAGAGGAAGCUACAGUCUUCCUGGUGUUGCUGAAGCUGUGUCACAACAGGCGCACUCCUGAGGACCACUGCCUGAUACUUUGUGUUUAGGACCUCACCAUGCAUCAUCGACUACCUGCUCCAGAAUUGCUACAGAACAACCUGCUCUGAAAAACUUAACUAGAAAAUGAACUACUGGGUGAUUAAUGAAAGUUUCAUAGUAUUUCAGGAAAUGAGUGUCAGACUCACCCAAAUGCUGCAACCAAAGAGAAAUUUAUGGCAAGUGUGCUGGUGAAUGGAGCUGACGACGUUCAAAGCUUUUAUUAAAAGCUUUUAGCUUUAAAUUACAUUUGACAGCUGGUAAUCAGGGAUGUGAUCUAAGUGACUUAAACAGAAGAGGCCUAUGGUUUUUGAUAUUCAAAGAAGAUCCAGAGGCAGGCAGUGCAAGUCUGGUACUGCCAGAGGAAGGUAGGAUCCUUUUUUAUGCCUCACCAACUUGGGGCAAGGCUUGCAUCCUUAAGGUGCUACUUCAUCCUUCAAGAUGAUGCCAGAACACAAUUGCCCUUCUUGUAGUUUUAGCAAAACCUGAAUGAAGGUUACUAUUGGUCCCAGAAUGGGUCGAUGGAGAGACUUUGCCAAUGAGAGCAAGAAGAAGGGAGAAGAGGUGAAGAAAAUCUCCCCUGACAGAGCAGAGGUGGGAAAGUCAAUAGAUAUCACAAAUCUUUACCUGUAUUGCUGUAUAGAUCUCUAGCUACUAGAUCAAGGGGAUCUUUAUUCAUGUUUUAAAAUUGCUGCCCACAGAUUUUGUAAGCCAGCAAUUUAUAAGAGUGCCUGAGUCAAUGCCCCUCCUUCGUAACACUUGGUCUCAUCUCUAGGAACCCAGUGUAUUCGUACUCUGUCUUCUAAGUUUUCGAUCAAGUCUCCAUUUCAGGCAUUAUACUAAAAUCUGUAUCACUGAUAAAACCCAAAAUUCCUAGUGAGAUUUCUAUUUAAACCUCCAUCAAAGAUGUCACUUGAAGAUAACGUGGACUUAAGUAUGUUUAUACUGUACUGCAGUCUAUUAAGCAUGCUAUGACAUUAUGUCUAAAAAAUACUGCACAAGCCUUAAUUAAAAAAUACCUUAUUGCUAAAAAAUGCUAACCAUCUGAUCCAGCUGAAAAAUGGUGCCAAUAGCCUGGCUCAAUGCAGGGUGCCACAAACCCUCAAUUUGUGAGAAACACAGUACCUGCAAAGCACAAUAAAGCGAGACAUAAUAGAAUGGUGUGCCUGCAAUUGCCUUACAUCUUUUCCAAAUUGAGUUUAAAGCAGUAUUUCAUUGCUUUAUUUUAUUUACUACUAGCAAGCUU